CAAAGUGCUGGGAUUACAGGUGUGAGUCACGGCGCCUGGCUGAACUUAAGAAUUUUGAAAAUUAUAACUCUGAGCUUUUUAAGGAAACAGGGUUAAGAGGUAGUUUGUUGGCAGACGGGCAUCAGCAAGGUCUGUUUCGAAAGCUCAGCAUAUGAGCACACAUGUGCACACAUGCACUCAGCCUUGGCUUUGCGCUGUAAAUUUUUAGCACAAUAUACAAGUAUGGGCUUUUGUUGUCAAGGAAAUGGCUUUGUUUCUCUGAGGAAGGAGAUAUUGAGGACACUUCUCUGUAGGCAAUCACUGAGCAAGGUCGUAUUGUUUCCCAGACCUGCUGUUCUGAACAACACGAAGCUCUUGGGUUCUGUCCGUGCCUCUCUGGCCAGUCAUUGUUACAGUGGCAGCAGGCAAGCCAGGCUUUCCUCGGUGAGGUCCAGCUCACAGCUGACCUCUACCUUCCCUUCCUACUUGCCUAGGCAAUCGUGGCUUGUGUUUGAACUGAGCAAUGAAGAAAUAUCUCAGGCAGUUUUGAGUCAGCCUUCAGGUUUCUCAGAAACUUUAAACACAGAAAUGAAUGGGAUCACUGAGGUCAGGAACUCUAGAUUCCCCUACCUCAUGGUUGGAGCAUCAGCUUCUGGAGGUCAAGGGUAGGAUUAUCAGAGGCUGCAUGAAGAAGGUAAUAGUGGGACCACUUAGAGAGAGCCAACAGUCCAGGCCAAGACAAGCUGGGACCCAGCUCUGUUUCACAUAUGAGUUAUUCCUCUUCUAAUCGGCCCUCUAGGUGAAAUUAAUCAUUUAUUUCCACUUCCUGCUAAUUGUCCAACUGGUGUGGCUGUAUCUCCUUCCUGCAAAGCAAUGUUGAAGAAGCUAUGGAAGCAAGAAGGAAGCAUGGAUUCUAGAAACUGACAACAAACCACUUAUCCCUAUUGCUCUUCUUCCUAAAGCUAAAGAACCCUGGGACCUUGAGGACACCGUUUGAAAACUAUUCAUGGAAAACCUGGCAUCCUAGAAUGAGAAAUCCACAUCUGGAUCAAACUGCAUCACAGAAGCUGUGCAGGAUGACAGAUGACACCCUGUCUGGAAAGUUUCUGCCACAGGGCAAAAGACUGCAAGCAGAAUAUCCCUUUGCCGUUUCUCAUUCAGGCCUGACCAUGGUCUGAAAGCAAACCGCAAGGACAGGACUUCCUGGACUCCGCCGCCACUCCAGGUUGCUGCUUUACCACAGGAAGUCCAGCAGGUGGCGCUGCACCCCGCGCGGACCCAGCCAGCCUGCCUGCCGUGGCCGCAGGGUGGCCGCUGGAUGCACAGUCGGGAAGUGGUCUGCGCGCACCUCGCUGCAGCUGUGUCAAACGCAAACGAUGACACACAGGCUUGACGAGGGCCUUUGUCAGAAGCCACGGGGAUCUGGCGUCACCGCACAAUGGAAAACAAAGUGCUUCUGCCUGGUUGGCCAGAAUGCACGUUUGCUCACUAUUGAUGCCGGGGCGUUUACAGGCAGAAUGAGUUCAUGUGAAAUUUCAGGAUCUGCCAUGACUCAGACUCACUUUCUGUAAACCAGAGUCAACAUUACAUUUCCCUUCACUCUGGGCCAUUCCUUGAAUUUUUAGGUCACCAGUUGUUUUUGUACUAACUGAAGGGAUUUGAGUAUUUCAUAAGCACCUUUUUUUUUUUUUUUUUUUUUUUUUUUUUUUUUUAGGGCAUUACCAAUUUGGGAUGGAUCUGUAGUGUAAGAGAUUGUUGUCUACUCUUAGCUCCAAAAAUAGGUUGGCUUUAUAUAUUAUUUACAUGUUCAGAAUUAUACUGUGUAGCAAUUCAAGUGAAACUUGCAAAAUACUUUUCUGGCAGGAAGCCCUGGAGAGGAUGGUUCAUGGAGAUGAGGAUGACGACUGGGGUGAGAAAUGCAGGUGACUCGUGAGUGGACAGAGAGUGGAAGAGAAGAUGACUGGAAGAUUUUAGCAUCUAGAAAAGAAUGGAGACGACUAGAGUUGAUCUGAAGAUUAUGGCAGAAUUCAGUACUGGGGCAAAGAAACAAGAUGGAGUUAGAAAUUAGAAACAGCAGAGCUCCGAAGGUUCGAAAGGAUUUGAACAAGAGAACAAGAAGGAGCCUGCUAAUAGCACCCUGGGUUCACAGCAAGAGAAGCACCUGGAGAGAAUUAACUAGGGAGGCGGUGGGGGCAUGGGAAACCUUUUCCUCUCCAAGAGCCGGCCGGAGCGUCAGCUGGCCUGAACUUGAAGUUACACCAGGUAGCUUGCCUGGGCUGGGAGAAGGUGAUUCUCUUCUAUGCCUCUCUCCAACGCCCUGCUCCUGACGCUGCUCCUCUACUCAUAUUGAGGGGAACAUACAUCCCUAAGUUCCCCGCACCCCAUUCCUUGUUCUGGCUAUCUGGUCUCCUAGGAAUUUUUCUACUAAUUUUCAAUUCCUCUUUUCACCUGGUGAAAUAUUAAAUCUUACUGUUCAAUUAAAGUUCUUCUA